UACGCAGGGGGCAAGCGUUGUCCGGAAUCAUUGGGCGUAAAGCGCGUGUAGGCGGCUAGAUAAGUCUGCUCUGAAAGCCCGGGGCUCAACCCCGGGAGGCGGGUGGAUACUGUCUAGCUCGAGUCCGGAAGAGGAGUGUGGAAUUCCUGGUGUAGCGGUGAAAUGCGCAGAUAUCAGGAGGAACACCAAUGGCGAAGGCAGCACUCUGGGACGUGACUGACGCUGAGACGCGAAAGCGUGGGGAGCAAACAGG
rnacentral:rRNA from 1 species